ensembl:snRNA U6 U6 spliceosomal RNA
GUGCUCACUUCGGCAGCACAAAUACUAUAAUUGGAACGAUACAGAGAAGAUUAGCAUGGCUCCUGCACAAGGAUGGCAUGCAAAUUCGUGGGGGGUAGGAGACACAG